UUUCCGUAGGUGAACUGCGGAAGGAUCAUUAAUAAAUGUCUACGUUUUUUAAGUAGACGCUUAAUAAUCCUACCUUUGUGAAUUUGUUGUUUGAAAUAAUUUUUUUUAAAAUUAUUGAUUGUCUUUCCUGUUGAAUUGGUUGUCUUAAUGGCAAAUGAUCGCAGGGGAGUGUCAGUAAUUUUAAAAGACCUUUUUAAAAUUAAACUUUUUGUAUUCAUUUGUCUAAAAAUUAUUUUAUAAUAUAAAACAACUUUGACAAUGGAUCUCUUGGUUCUCGCAACGAUGAAGAACGCAGCAAAAUGCGAUAAGUAGUGUGAAUUGCAGAAUACGUGAAUCAUCGAAUCUUCGAACGCAUAUUGCACUUUUUAGUUUACUAAAAAAGUAUGUCUGUUGAGUAUCAGUAAAUAUUCUCAUAAAACUUUUGUUUUUAUGGUUAUGAGUGUUUACAACGAUACAAGUGUUUCACUUUAAAUUUUUUUAAAAUUUGAAUUUUCUAAUUUUAAAAUAAAUUGGAUAAAUUUCCCGUAAAAAGAAUAACCUAAACAAUUUUAAUUUUUGAUUAGAAUUCUUCAAUUAUAAAGGAAAUUUAACUAAAUAACUUGAUCUCAAUCAGAUAAGAGUACCGCUGAACUAAGCAUAUCAAUAAGCGGAGGAAAAGAAACUAACAAGGAUUCCUUAGUAACGGCGAGUGAGCGGGAAGAGCUCAAAUUUGAAAUCUUCAAGGUUUUACCUUGACGAAUUGUAGUUUAAAGAAGUGUUUUUGUUGAAGUUUUGGUAAAAGUUCUUUGGAAUAGGAAUCAUAGAGGUGAGAAUCCGUAUUUGACCAUUAUUUCAGCUGUGUGAUACACUUUCAAAGAGUCGGAUUGUUUGGGAAUGCAGUCCAAAUGGUGGUAAUUUCGUCUAAAGCUAAAUAUUGGCGAGAGACCGAUAGCGAACAAGUACCGUGAGGAAGAUGAAAAGAACUUUGAAAGAGAGUUAAACAGUACGUGAAAUUGUCAAAAGGAAGCGUUGACACCAGUGUUGUUUCUCGAAAAUCAAUUAAAAAAGUUGGAUUUUGUUGUAUUGACCUUAACAGCUUGCUUCACUCUUUCUUGCUUUUUUUAAUGCACUUUUCGUUUAACAAGUCAACAUCAGUUUCUUUGUUGUAAAAGGUCAUUGGAAGUGGCUUCUCUUCGAGAAAGUGUUAUAGCCUUUGAUCUCUGCAAUCGGAGAGACUGAGUCUGCAGCGUAGAUCCUUCGGGUUAGAUACAUUUGUGCUAAGCUACAGCUUUUCAUAGACAACUUGUGACUAUGUUUAGUCUUGUAACUUACCGCUUAUGCUAUUUACCUACGCUUAGGAUGU
rnacentral:misc_RNA from 1 species